AGAGUUUGAUCCUGGCUCAGAACGAACGCUGGCGGCGUGGAUAAGACAUGCAAGUCGAACGCUAUACUUGCCGUAGCAAUACGGCGGGUGUGGAGUGGCGCAAGGGUGCGUAACACGUGGGAAUCUGCCAUGAAGUCGGGGAUAACUCGUUGAAAGACGAGCUAAUACCGGAUGUGUCCGCAAGGGCAAAGCUGGGGACCGCAAGGCCUGGCGCUUCAUGACGAGCCCGCGGCCUAUCAGCUAGUUGGCGGUGUAAAAGACCACCAAGGCGAAGACGGGUAGCUGGUCUGAGAGGACGACCAGCCACACUGGAACUGAGACACGGUCCAGACACCUACGGGUGGCAGCAGUCGAGAAUUUUUCUCAAUGGGCGCAAGCCUGAAGGAGCGACGCCGCGUGGGGGAUGAAGGGUUUCGAUCCGUAAACCCCUGUCAUUUGUGAACAAGGGCCAUUCGCUAACACCGGGUGGCUUGAUAGUAAUGAAAGAGGAAGGGACGGCUAACUCUGUGCCAGCAGCCGCGGUAAU
rnacentral:rRNA from 1 species